rnacentral:rRNA from 1 species
GAUGAACGCUAGCGGCAGGCUUAAUACAUGCAAGUCGAGGGGCGGCAGGACUGUAGCUAUACAUUUGCUGGCGCCCGGCAAACGGGUGCGGAACACGUACGCAACCUACCCAAAACUGGGGGAUAGACCGGGGAAACCUGGAUUAAUACCUCGUAACCUCCUUAAGUGGAAUCACUUGAUAAGUAUAGCUCCGGCGGUUUUGGAUGGGCGUGCGCCUGAUUAGGUAGUUGGUGCGGGUAACGGCCCAACAAGCCUGCGAUCAGUGACUGGUGAGAGAGCACGACCAGUCACGAGGGGACAGAGGCACGAGCCCGACACCUGAGGGAGGAAGGAGUAAUGAAGAUUAGUCAAUGGACGCAAGUCUGAACCAGCCAGGCCGCGUGAAGGAGGAAGGUCCUCUGGAAUGUAAACUUCUUUUAAGAGAGACGAAACACGGAUAUUCUUAGCCGAUUGACGGUACCUCAGGAAUAAGCACCGGCUAACUCCGUG